UACGGGGGGGGCAAGCGUUGUUCGGAAUACUGGGCGUAAAGGGCUCGUAGGCGGCCAACUAAGUCAGACGUGAAAUCCCAUCGGCUUAACCGGGGAACUGCGUCUGAUACUGGAUGGCUUGAGUGUGGGAGAGGGAUGCGGAAUUCCAGUGUAGCGGUGAAAUGCGUAGAUAUCGGGAGGAACACCUAUGGCGAAAGCAGCUGCCUGGGCCUUUAACUGACGCUAAGACUCGAAAGCUAGGGGAGCAAACAGG
rnacentral:rRNA from 1 species